rnacentral:rRNA from 1 species
UACGUAGGGUGCAAGCGUUAAUCGGAAUUACUGGGCGUAAAGCGUGCGCAGGCGGUUUUGUAAGUCUGAUGUGAAAUCCCCCGGGCUCAACCUGGGAAUUGCAUUGGAGACUGCAAGGCUAGAAUCUGGCAGAGGGGGGUAGAAUUCCACGUGUAGCAGUGAAAUGCGUAGAUAUGUGGAGGAACACCGAUGGCGAAGGCGA